CAGUCGGGUAAUCGCGCUUAUACUUGAUAUAAGUGAGGAAAGUCCGUGCAUUCAAGAACGGGGCACCGGAGAAACUCCGGACGGCGUGAGCCGGUGGACAGUGCCACAGAAAUGUAGACUGCCGAUGGAACUUAGGUUCACAGGCGAUGGUGCAACGGUGAGUUAAGAGCUUCACCGAUGAUAUUGAGAAAUAUCAGUCAGGUAAACCCUGCCCGAAUGCAAGAUUAAAUCGAAGGUUACAAAGGCUGUUCGCCCACUUCGGACAAAUCGCUUGCGGUUGUGAGUAAUCAUAACCCCAGACAGAUGAUUACCUUGGAACAGAACACGGCUUAUGAGCUGCUUUA
rnacentral:RNase_P_RNA from 1 species